AGAAUAGUCUGGACUCCUCCUGUGACAAGAGCUUAAGCUGUUCCGGCCAAUGUAGUAGUCACUAGCCACAUGCAGCUGUUGAAAUUUGGCUCAAGGUCACAGAGGCAGAAAUUCAGAGACAGAGAUGAGGUCUCCACUCCCUGAACAGUAUUGCUGCUACUACAUUGCAUCAUCAUUUCUCACUUUACCCACUCAGAGCAUCCCCACUCAGAAGAGCCAAGCAAAUGAGCGCAGAACCAAUAUGCCAGGAUCUAAAACAAGAUCCUUUCAUUUCUAG
rnacentral:lncRNA from 1 species